rnacentral:rRNA from 1 species
GGGCCCGCACAAGCGGUGGAGCAUGUGGUUUAAUUCGAUGAUACGCGAGGAACCUUACCAGGGCUUAAAUGUAAGUUGCAUGGAUCAGAGAUGAUCCUUUCUUCGGACCACUUACAAGGUGCUGCAUGGUUGUCGUCAGCUCGUGCCGUGAGGUGUCAGGUUAAGUCCUAUAACGAGCGCAACCCCUAUCGUUAGUUGCCAGCAAGUAAAGUUGGGAACUCUAGCGAAACUGCCGGUGCAAACCGUGAGGAAGGUGGGGAUGACGUCAAAUCAUCACGGCCCUUACGUUCUGGGCUACACACGUGCUACAAUGGCCGGUACAGAAAGCAGCCACUAUGCGAAUAGGAGCUAAUCUUUAAAACCGGUCUCAGUUCGGAUCGCAGUCUGCAACUCGACUGCGUGAAGCUGGAAUCGCUAGUAA